AUUUUAGAAAAAUCUACUUUGUGUCAUUCGAUGAAAACAUUGUUGGCUACCCAAAACAAGUGAGAAGGGAACAUUUGCAUCACGGCCAAAUGGAUUUACAAAUCAACAUUUAUGGGCAACAUCGUAAGCUUACUCACACGUUCAAGUGGACGAAACAUUGUUUUUUAUCGUCUUGAGACAAAAUACCUUUUGUUUAAAAAUGGUUUGAG
rnacentral:lncRNA from 1 species